AUCUUUUAAAAUUUAUCCUUAAAAUUUGUCUGCAUGGAAAUUAAAUAUACAUUUGAAUGAGCAUUCCUAUCCAAGUGAAGAUCUAUGGGAUUUACAUGGAAGUCAACAGCAAUGCAAGGGUUUUGCUUUUCAGCUUGCUGAUGCUAUCUCCUAUUAAAUGAGUUCACCCCACAUGGCAAAUGGGCACUGGAAGGUUUGAGUGGAUCUGAUGGAUGACUCAGCUGAGGUCUUGGUGUCUGCAACUGGUCUAGAUUAUGAAGGCCUGGGCAGGCCAUCCUUUUGUGUGGAAGAGUUGGAGAUGGCGGCAGCGUGCUCCAGGAGCAAAAAAGGAGUGAGACCCCUUUAAGGAAAAGGUGGAAGAGACAGGAUCAGAAAAAGGAAAGGAGGUGAGGUUGUCCUGCAGGAAUACAGGUUAAUUUGAGGGCUAAUCCACAUGGGGCUCUGUUUCCCUAGAGACUAAAAUUGACAUUCUGAAACUUGAACUGGCCAUGAAC